UAGUCAUUGACCUGAUUUCCUCAUUGCUUUGGAGAACUAUUUCAGUAUGUUCCUCUUCUGUCCCUAAGAGCCACUGCUCCUUCAUAACUCAGUGCGUGGCCAGCCUAUUCUGAAGUACCUCUGAGGCAUCCCUCUAGACUUCUGUUGUUAUUCAGUAGCUACUGUAUGCUAGAAAGUGCGGUUCACUACGUUUCCAGCUCCUUCUUCCUUCUCUGGUGGGUCUUCAGAUACCAACACGGACUUCAUCUUGGUCUUUGUUUUUAGCAGCAUUGUGGUUCAAAGCACUGAUGCCGAAGCUGGCUUCUGCUAUGAGCAGCAACAUGAUUUUAGACAAGUCUCUUAACCUCUUAGAGCCUUAGUUUCCCAACCUGUAAAAUGAGACUGAUACUAGGUCCAGUUUCAUAGGACUGGUGUGGAAAUUAAAUAAGUUAAUACGUAUAAAGUGCUGGGCUCCAUGUCUGACCCAUUGUGGGUUCUCAAUAACAGUAUGCUGUUAUUAUUCUCAUUUUGGGGGUGAUUAUUAAGAUUCAGGGCACAGGGUAGUACUCUUUGAGUACAGUGUGCAGAUUUCUUCUCUGAAUUGCUUUCUGUGAUGGGUUACAAGGAUCUUCCAAGCGUAGAGAGGAUCUAAUAGUUUCCAAGUUGAUCUCUCCAUAAAACUCCAUUUCCCAUGAAGCGAUUAGAGUAGGUUUUGAGAUCAUUAAAGGCCACCAUAGGAAUCUUGUAGAGCUUCUUUGCAAUCAGAGAGCCAGCUAAUGUUGGGGUGAAAGGUCCUUAGUGAGCACUUAAAACAAAAAGACAGACUGACAGGUUUUGAUCACAUCAGACCUAGUGGCAGCCUAGACCAGAAGACAUGUCUCCUAAUGUCCAAAGCAGCAUCCUUUCUGCCCCAGCAGGAUUUCUCAUGCCGUGUACUUCUCCUGACCUGCAGGUGAGAGGAGAACAAUGGUCUGAGCCUCUUCCUCUGGCCCCUGCACAUCUGCUUAGAGGCAUCUGCGUGAAUGUGCUGGUUGUUCACUCGAGAAGAUACCAGAUACAAACAAGACAAGGAUGUUGCUCUUGUAAGCUCCAAAUAUUGGCUGAAGGAAUGAAUGAACAUCUGCCUUCUGUAUCAGUAGAUCUUUCCUUCCAUUGCAGAGUUAGAAGGUAAGCCAUCCUCUGAGACCCAGGACAUGGACUUCAGUGGACUGUCGGUUUGUAUCCAUGGGGACUGGUCAGUGGGGCUAUCCUUAAGUCAAAGAGAUCAUUCAUGUGUUAUGUUUUGAAGGGUGUUGGGAGUUCUUGAUAUCCAAAAUCAUCGCAUAUUUUAAGGCUUGACAGUCCAGGGUUUGAGAUAAAUUUAUUUUGGUCUUUAGUGUUGUUUGUUCAGCAUUAGGUUCUCUAUGGGAAUGUCACUGUUCCUGGUGGGACAUCACCUUUGGAUUUGUUAGAUGAAACAGCAAGACAUGGUGAGCAGAGCACUGUUUUUGGAAUCCAGUGGACUUGUGUUCUAACCCUGCUUCCACCAUUUGCCAUCUGUGUGACUUGGAAAGGUUAUUUGACCUCUCUCAGUGGGUUUUCUUUCUGUGAAAUGGAGGUAAUAAUAUCUAACUGUCAAACCCAUGAAGAUAAGUUACAUAGUUACAAUUGUACAUUACAAUUGAGUAUGUAAGGUGUCCAGCCAUGCAUUGGUACAUAGAAGACCCUCACAUCACAUGAAUUAUCUUCCCUACAUUUCUCCUUCCUAAGAGCCACAUCCUGAGGAAGAGGCUGUGGGUGGCGUGGUUGGGGAAGGUGAUAAUGGUGGUGAGAACAGAGGGCAGUGAGAAUGAAUCUUGUCACAGAUUUAAAAAUUUUUCCGAGUGGGACAAUCUCAUUGACUAAUAUUGGCUGACAGCAUAUAAAACUAUAGACCAGAAAACAUGAAACUUUUUCUAUUUAUAUUAUUUUAUUGGAACAGCCCAACAGGCUUUAUGAAAUGCCUUUGUGCACAUGUGGAAAGGUAGCACAGGCCAGAUAUCGGUCACCAUUUGCCCAUCAGCCACUUAUCCUGUGCAGUGAACUACUUGUCCAAUGUUUGCGACGGGCCUGCUAACCAAAGAGACAGCAAUUUGCAGUAAACUUGGCUGAGUCCUUAAAGAUAGAAGUUUGUGGAGGAAAAUUAAUGACCUAGGUCAGAAGAUCUGGUUUAAAUCACUUCCACUAUCAACUCUGUAACCCAGAGGUUUGUAAGGUAAGUAAAUGCUCCAAACCCCAGUUGCUUCAUGUAUAAAACUCCAGUUGCUUCAUGCUAUCCUUUUACUCUAUUCUUUAUAACAAAUUACCCCAAAAUUCACUAGCUUCAGAAAGAAACAGUGUUUACUAUCUCACCCAGUUUCUGUGCAUUGAGAAUGCAGGAGCAGAUUAGCUUCUUGGUUCUGGUUCGGUGUGUCCCAUAAGGUCAUGGUCAAGAUGUUGGUGGGUCAAUGACUAUAAUACAACAUGUCAACAGAAUGAAAACCAAAAGCCCAUGAUCAUAUUAGUAGAUGCAGAAAAAAUACCUGACAAACCCCAAACACUUCCCUGGUAAAAACACUCAAGAAACUGGUAAUAGAAGGGAACUUUCUCAGUUAGGCAAAGGGUAUUUGUGAAAAGCCUACAGCUAAUAUCAUAUUAAUGGUGAGAUUAGAUGUUUUCCCCUGAAUAUUAGAAAUAAGACAAAGAUAUUGCUUUUGUCACUUCUAUUCAGCAACAUAUUAGAGGAUCUAGCCAGGGAAAUUGCACAAGAGAAAGAAAUAAAAGCCAUCUGGAUUGGAAGCA
rnacentral:lncRNA from 13 species